UCUGAAGUAUUGGGCAUUUUCUGGCGUCCAAGCUUUGAGUGCAAGACUGCAAGGUUUAGUGAUUGGUUGCAUUGCACCCAUUCAUCCAUCUAUUUCAAAGCUAACAAACUUAUAAUUUGAUGAGCUAAGGUACCUAUCAUUUGUAGGGAGUGGUUUCAUAUGGACGUUUCAAUGAUUUGAUGUCAUGUGGACAUUUGAAUGAUUUGAUGUAAGAGUCGUCUAACUAUGAAUAAAUUUUUUAAAAGAACAAAAAAAAAGCAGCAAUUCUCUUGGACCACCACAAAACACAACCUCCAUUUCUUGCUAGUCACACUCCAUACAUUUUGGAGGAGCCAAACCCCAAAAGCAACCCAAACCCUAUGAGAAUCCCCCCAGCAAUGGAGUCCAUAUGUGUCCUCCUACCAAUCCCAAUGUCCCCUUACUUAGAACAAGAGCUCGAGAAGCGCUUCAACCUCUUGAAGCUUUGGACCGCUCCCCACAAGACCCAGUUCAUCAAGGACCACGCCGCCUCCAUCCGCGCCAUCGUCGGCAACGCCUCCGCCGGCGCCGACGCCGAGUUGAUCGACUCUCUGCCCAAGUUGGAGAUCGUCGCCAGUUACAGCGUUGGGAUUGACAAGGUCGACUUGAAGUACUGCAAGGAAAAGGGUGUGAGGGUCACUAACACCCCCGACGUGUUGACCGAUGACGUGGCCGACAUUGCUAUUGGGUUGACGCUGGCGGUGAUGCGCCGGCUUUGCGAGAGUGACCGGUAUGUCAGGAGUGGGCUGUGGAAGAAGGGUGACUUCAAGUUGACCACAAAGGUUACAUUUUCUCUUUUCUUGAUCACUGUUUUAUUGGUUGUGAACUUUUGGAUAUUGUCACUUUGCUUCAAAUCAGUAGUCAGGGGUAGGAAUAGUGUUUGUGCAAAAUAGUUGUGGGUCAAUGUUGCUCACCGAAGAUAUCUGCAUUGCUCAUACCAAUAUGUGUGUUACUAGGCUUUUCAUUUUCGUCCAUGAACUAUAACUGUUCUGAUGUUAGGAUGAUAUCAACCCAGCAGGCAGCAAGAAAUAUGAUAGUGUUGGUUGAUAUAGGGGUCUAUGAUGUACAUUUGAUUUGUGAAGAAAUCCUGGGUUUGUUUGGACUUUGGAGUGGAUUCUGCAUUGCUUUGUGUAAUGUAUGAAAAGGAGAAUGCAAAGUAGUUUUAGUGGGAACCAAGUUCUUGAAAUUACAUGCUAUGGUUGGUGCUUGUUUCUCUGUAUCCUGUGAAAAGGGGAUUGGUAUAGGUUGAACUGGGCAUUUCUCUUAUCAUUGUACUCUUCUGGUGCUGUUUUGUGUCGUUGCUACUGUUGUGGAUUUUUGAGUGCUCAAGCGUUGGUGAAGUUACCUCUGCAUUUCUACCUUUCAUGUAAAAUAAUGUGCCUAUUUGGAUUUAGGACUUUGGAGUUUUUCUUUUAGCUUCGUUUGUGCUAUAUAGCCAUGUAAAGCAAUUAGAACCAUAAGAUGGCAAGUCUUUACGAUUACGAUUUCUAGAUGCUCUAGGUGUUCUUAAGGUAUUUGUUUGUAAAAUAUUUCUGGUAGAUAUUAGUGUGAUUUAUUGAUAGUUUCAAAUUACUUGUCUAUGAUUAUGACGGCCAGUUGAAUAUUUGAACUGGAGAUAGUCGUAGCUUUAAUAUGAAAUGUGAAGUUCUUCAAAUGGCAGCAGGAAAAAAAAAAACAUAUAUAGUUUUGUUUUACCUUUUAGUCUUCCUGGUAUAGAUUGUUACCCCUUUUCUAAUAGUUUUCUUUUCGUUUCAGUUCACUGGACAAACAGUUGGUAUUCUCGGUUUGGGAAGAAUUGGCAAAGCAGUUGCCAGGAGAGCUGAGGCUUUCAGCUGCCCCAUUGCCUACUCUUCCAGAACAGAAAAACCAGAAUUGAAAUACAAGUAUUAUCCGACUGUUGUGGAAUUGGCUUCCAAAUGUGAUGUUCUAGUUGUUGCGUGCGCACUUACUGAAGAGACCCGCUACAUUAUCAAUCGUGAAGUCAUUGAUGCUUUGGGGCCAAAGGGUGUUCUCAUUAACAUUGGGAGGGGUCAUCAUAUUGAUGAGCCUGAGUUGUUAUCUGCACUGCUAGAAGGCCGAUUAGGUGGAGCUGGCCUCGAUGUGUAUCAGAAUGAACCAGAAGUACCGGAGCAGCUGUUUGGGCUUGAAAAUGUGGUGCUCUUGCCUCACGCAGGAAGUGACACUACAGAAACUUGCAAUGCAAUGGCUGACCUUGUUAUUGGGAAUCUUGAGGCUCACUUCUUGAACAAACCAUUGUUAACACCUGUGGUUUAACAGUUUGAGCAUCUGUAUAUAAAGCCCAUGGGAGGUAUCAUUUUGUGUUUCCUUGUAUAAUUUUGUGUUAACCACUUUAUACUAUAUCGAUUUUCCUUUCUUCCGACUUCAUUUGCCUUUUUUUUUUUUUUUUUCCCUUUCUCAUGGCAUGUUGCAUUACAUUUGUGCAGUCAUCUUUUCGUAGCUUCGACUCCUAUGCCGGUAUUGCCCCGAUGGAUGUAGAGAAGUUUGUUCUAUUUUCUUUUUUGGUUGGCUUAAUACAAUAAAAAUCUGCAGCCAUCAUAUAGUGAUACCAACUAUUAAACUAUACCCGGUUAUUAAGAGAAUUAUAUAGCAGAAUAAACACUACGGUGUUAGUGUCAAACCAGUUAUCCCCUUUUGACUUAAAAAAACAUGGAUGGAUUUGCAACAAUUCAAAUUACCCAGAACUUUCUGUUAUUUUAUUUUUUAUUUUUAUUUUUUUAUAAAAUACUGACAAAAGAUUAGGUGAUAUCAGCUCCUCUGUAGCAGUCUGGUGAGUGACAGAGCACCCACUCUACCCUAAAGGAGACCGCUACAACCGGGAACCCACCGCCCGUCCCUUAUCAGAAAUUUUAUUUAAAAUAAUAAAAGAAAUUACGUGAAAAGAGGAAUGGGGGACUAGGCCAAACCAUUCCAAUUACAAACCAAAACAACAUACAAAAAGACAUUGUUUCUUCUACCCAUAAAAAACCAAGCAAUCUUCCCACUAUGAAAACUGAUAAUUAAGGAUACCCAAAUAAUCCGCUUGCAAGAAACCAUGAAGCUCAGUAGGAGGAUUAUCAUACCAAGUAAAUGAAGCAUUUGACAACCCCAAGUUUGCCAUCUUGUCAGCUACCAUAUUUCCUUCUCUAAAAAUAUGACUGUAACGGAAGUUCAUUUGACGAAUUAUAGAAAGACAGUUAUUCCAACGAACUCUUAAGUUCCACGGAGGAGAAAAAAACCUGGAAGAGAAGCAAGCUACCACACUAACAGAGUCACUUUCCAACCAUAAGUAGACCCACCCUUUAUCGUGAGCAAUUUCAAUUGCCAAGAUAACAUCAUAAAGUUCAGAAUAACAGGAAGUCCAUCCAAGCGAAUGACAAAAACUCCCUAAAAACCCACCUGAGGCAUCACGAAACACACCCCCACAAGCUGCUGGACCUGGAUUGCCUUUUGUUAAACCGUCUGUGUUAACUUUGAUCUAAGGAAAAAACCAAGGCUGCCAUAAGACAUGUUGAAUUCUAGGAGCCUUACUACCUUUAGGAGCAACUCCAAGAGAGGCCAAUAAACAGGCAUCAAAAACACCCUUAUAGUGACCAGGAGCAAAAAUGCCAAUUUGACGAAUCCAUGCCAUAAUAGAGCAACACAUUGUAUAGAAAUUUGGGGAUCGAUUAUCAAACCUUAGCUUAUUCCGAGCCUUCCAUAGAGCCAUGAAAGUAAACAUGCUAGCUGCUAGCCACAAAUUAAAAAGCUGCGAGGAGAAAGGCUUUCGAUAGUAGCUCUUCCAAAAAUCUAUCAGGGAGUUGAAAGAAGAUAAAGAAGUGCCAAAUUGAACAGCUAACCAUCUCCAGACCCGUUGGGAAAAAGGGCAUUGUAAAAAUAAAUGCAAUGAUGUCUCACCAGAACAAUAACAUAACUGACAGAUAGUCACAACAGGAAUUCCGCUAAUUUUCACUCUAUCAUCAGUUGGAAGCCGAUCAAAAAGAAUUCUCCAGACAAAAAAAGAGUAACGAGGUGGGAUGAAUGAUCGCCAUACAUUACAAGCCCAAUCUUUGACAGUGUUAUGGUGUUUCAGAAAUUCAUACCCAAUAGAAAAAGUCAACUCACCGGAGGUAGAGGGCUCCCAAAUAAACAUAUCUGACUCAUCAAUAAGAGGGAGUGCCAAAUCUGAAAUCUGCCUAGCCAAGAGCGGAAAAGUUUGGCAAAAGAAGGGAGGAAGCUGCCAUGAACGAUGAGAAAUAUAAAAUCUACGACAUGAAGAUUGCUGAAAUAAGACCAAUUUGAAAUACCCAAAGUCUCCAAAAUAGGAGCUUGAAGCCAUUUAUCCUUCCAAAAACACACAGUUUUACCAUCUCCAAUUAACCAUCGACAAUUUUGUCUAAAACCAGAACCAACCGACCGAAAACCUGGCCAAAUUGAGGAUUUGCGAUAGCCCAGCUUGCAGGCAGAUAGAAUAGGAUACCUGACUGAGAGAAUGAAGAGAUUACUAAAGUAUCACUAGUGAUUUUUACUGCCUUGUUCUCUUUAAACUUGGCCUCCGGAGUCCGGACACACCAAACACAAGCAAGAGAACUAGUACAUGAAACAUUUACAAUAAAUAGACCCUCAUUGUUGUUUUAGUCUAUCCAGCCUUUUUGUGAGAAUAUUGCCUGAAUGUGGAGAAUCAUGGAAUGUAUUUCAAAGAGUUUUGAGUUCCAACUCACCGGAAAAUCUCAAGACAAAGACAUGCACUGUCCAGUUCCAUUUCAGCAAUAUAUGUUUCAUUUUGAUAACAGCUAAGUCAUCUUGUUUGAGGUUUAUUAAUCCUCAUCUUUGAAUAACUUGCUGUUAGAAUGGUCGUUAUUCACACUGUGUUUGAUGAAAUUUUGUAAGAAUGAUCUACACAUUGUGUUUUAGACAUUGUACGGUUGAGACAUAGAAAUACAACCUGAAAGUGAGCCAAAUAAGGAGUCAUGCUCUUUAAUUUCAAAGCGGGAUCCCACUCUGGAAAGGGACCACACACACACACUAUCAUAGCAAAUAAAAACUAUACAUACAUUUUGUCUUGCCUUAACUUUUUUUUGGUUACAAAAUGAUGGCUGGGAGAGCUACCAUUCUGGAACCGGAGCAAUUUUAGGUGGCCUCUCCUCAAAUGAUGUUUUUCACAAAUUAGGGUUCGAACCAAAGACCUCCUAUUAUCAGAGAAUCUUUACAGCUUCUGCCUCAUUUGUAGCCUAACAUGCUUCCACUAGACCGACUAACCUCGUUGGGUGUCUUGUCUAAACUUUACUUACAUGUUUGGUUUGCUCAUUAUCUCCGUGGAAUGUAUCAAAAUGAUAAAGCAUAAGCAUGCCCAUCUGUACAUGCAUCUCCUCUUGAUGGCUAAAUAACAUUUUUCCUCCUGUGUGUCCUUCUUAUAGUUGUGCAAGAUAGAGUAGUAAAGUCUACAAGAUUCCAUAUAAGUAAAUAUAGGAUAAAGUAUACUUGUUAAAUUUAAAAUAUUCGAUAUAUAGAUUAUGAGUACAUGAUGCAUAUUGAGUUUGUGUUUUGAGAUGAAAAUGGGAAUCCGUUAAUAGUUGCUAUGAGCGUAUUGAAGAUACUUCGGUGUCUAUGGGUGAAACUACUAGCUUUAAAGAGUCAUUACACACAACGUGGUUAUAACAAUUCUCUCAUGCAGUGGUGGAAGGUGACUCAAAAAGCUUCUUAUAUACAAUCUGAAUGGAAAAACUAUGGCACCCUAAUGCAUUCAAUCUUUAAUCCAAGAUAUCUAGUGGCUAGCAUCUCAUUUUCAAGUUGUGUACUUUCGACAUAUUCACCAUGAAGCUAACUUUGUGACAGACCGUCUAGUCUCCGUGAGAAUUGCAUCGUCGACUCUUGUAGUUUAGUUUUACUGCUUACCUUUUUUUACUGCUUAAAUUUUUAUUGUUCUGAAAGAUUCCUCUGUUCUUAUAUAAUCAAUAAUUCAGCCGAGCUUUAAUCCCUUUUAUCCUACACGGCCGACGGCGACAUUUGCAUUUGUCGUUUCUCGCUGAUCACCACAAACACACCUACCAUUUUUAGUCAGAGUCUCUCUGCCACUUCACAAUAAACUCCACCUUCACAAAUCACAGCCUCUCCAAACCUUUGGGAGUCGCUGCAAUCCAAAAGCAAUCCCAACCCAGAUUCCAAAACCACCCCUAACAAUGGAGUCCAUAGGUGUCCUCCUACCAAUCCCAAUGUCCCCUUACUUGGAACAAGAGCUCGAGAAGCGCUUCAACCUCUUGAAGCUUUGGACCGCUCCCCACAAGACCCAGUUCAUCAAGGACCACGCCGCCUCCAUCCGCGCCAUCGUCGGCAACGCCUCCGCCGGCGCCGACGCCGAGUUGAUCGACUCUCUGCCCAAGUUGGAGAUCGUCGCCAGUUACAG
rnacentral:lncRNA from 1 species